rnacentral:rRNA from 1 species
UCGGGAAUUUUGGGCAAUGGGCGAAAGCCUGACCCAGCAACGCCGCGUGAAGGAUGAAGUAUUUCGGUAUGUAAACUUCGUAAGAAUAGGAAGAAUAAAUGACGGUACUAUUUGUAAGGUCCGGCUAACUACGUGCCAGCAGCCGCGGUAAUACGUAGGGACCAAGCGUUGUUCGGAUUUACUGGGCGUAAAGGGCGCGUAGGCGGUGUGUCAAGUCAGUUGUGAAAUCUCCGAGCUUAACUCGGAACGGUCAACUGAUACUGUCACACUAGAGUACAGAAGGGGCAAUCGGAAUUCUUGGUGUAGCGGUGAAAUGCGUAGAUAUCAUGAGGAACACCUGAGGCGAAGGCGGGUUGCUGGGCUGAUACUGACGCUGAGGCGCGAAAGCUAGGGUAGCAAACGGGAUUAGAUACCCAAGUAGUCCCUGAGCGGGCUGGCAAGGCGCAU